rnacentral:misc_RNA from 1 species
GCGUUGCACUGAUUGAGGCCGUCGAGAGCGGAGGCGAAGGGGUGGAAGCCAUGGAGCUUGACGACCUUGCCGAAGCGCUCAAGUUCGAGGACGGAGUUGCGGACGGCGUCGGUGUCCUGGCCGAUCUCAUCGAGGCCAUGGGCGUGGAAGAGGGCGUAGCCCGAGGCCGACUCGAACAGGAGGUAGAGAGACAUCGCCGCCAGUGAGGAUUUGGGG